AAGAACAAGAAGUUUGGAAUCUGUUAAUAACUGACACUAUUUAUUACAGUUUUUAAAUUGUGCAAUCUGUGUGCAAUAGCUAUUGUCAAAUAUUCCCCAAGAAGUAAUAACUAAGAUGCUUAAUAACAGCAGAACUGCCUGAUAAACAACUCAUGUCCCAAAUUAAUAAAUCUUUUCCUUGCCAGUUACGUGCAUAACUUGUAGAGACUCUCUGUUUUUUUGUACUCUAUAUGAAGAAAAGUAUUUUGCUCUCCCAAUAAGUAAAGCAACUGCUUACAUCCUUCUCUUCCACCUAUGUAAAUAAGAAUAUGUCUCUUUUUUUUUUUUAAGUCUUUAUUGAAUUUGUCACAGUAUCGUUUCUGUUUUAUAUUUUGGUUUCUCGGCCACAAGGCGUGUGGGAUCUUAGCUCCCCGACCAGGGAUCAAACCUAUGUCACCUGCAUUUGAAGCUGAAGUCUUAACCACUGGACCGUCAGAGAAGUCCAGAAUAUCAGUCUUUUUAACUGAUAGCCAUUCGAGUAAAUAUGUCUAUAAUCUUUGCUGCCGUGUGUAUCCAUCAGUGGCCAGCCAGGUGUACAGAAACCACGCUAGAUAGUUGAAGCGGAGAAGGAUUGAGUGGCAGAAACUGAUUACAAAGGUGUCAAGAGGACUGAAAGGCACAAGGGAGAUGAAGAAGGGGCACUGGAGAAGCCGAAGGGAAGGGGCUCUUAGCCUAACAUCAGAACCUGCCUUUGGGGACUUCCCUGGCGGUCCAGUGGUGAAGACUCAGUGCUUCCCGUGCAGGGGGCUCGGCUUCCAUCCUUGGUCUGGGAACUAAGAUUCUGCAGCAGCACAUAAAGUGGGAAAAAAGAGAAGAAGCUGCUUUGGCUCUGAGCCGGGGGUGCUGCUGUUCCAGAGACUGAGCCUCCUCCCCCUGGCACUGCUGCCCCUGCAGCCCUUGGUUAUCCUCCGCUAGUGCUGCACUGCCAAGCCCCCCCUCCAGUAGGGAAAAAAAAACAGCAGCAUUUUGCUUUCAGCAACCUUCUAAUUCCCGUGCCUGUGCCAAGAAAUGACAGAGCUAAACAGAAGCCAUCUGGCAAGGAGCCUGAGAGAUGAAGGCUGCAGGCUGUAAGCCCCUGGCAGGACAGGAAAGAAGCUGGCUGGAAGGACUGCGUGAAGCUGCAAACCUUCCACCCAGCACACAGAAAUGUUAAUCACACUUCUUUUGGUUCUACUUGUGAAUAAACUGGAGCUGAUAAUACUAGAAUUCAUUUGCCUUUGUUUGGCUUGUUGAGAAAAAUAUUUCUGUACAGGAAAGUCAACGUAAUACGAUUAAAAACAUGGGUUUUGGAUAAAUAACCAGCCUGGGUUUGACCCCCCUGGUUCCAUCACCUACUGUGAUUUCCAGAGGUCUUCACGAAACCCUAUUCCUACCAGAAACAGAUGUCUCCUUUACUGCAUCCUCCCAAAAGGUGGGCAGUUUUUCUUUUUAAAACUUUUUGCUAAUUUGAUCAGUGAAAAUAGUGUCUCAGUAUUUACGUUUGUAUUUCUUUAGCAUCUGUGUGAUUAAUCCUUAAGAAAACUGUAAUUAUAAGGCUGAGCUCACAAGUAGAGCCUGUGAUUGUUAUUCUUGGGCAUAAACGUGCAAGGAACAAAAGGGUCAUGUGGUGGCACUAGAACGUAACAAAUGGAAAUGACCGUUCCCGCUUCAUCAGCAGUCGCCAACCUUUUUGGAACCAGGGACUGGUUUUGUGGAAGAUAGUUUUUCCACAAAUGGGGGUCGGGGAGUGCGUGUGGUUUCGGGAUGAUUCAAGCACAUUACAUUUAUUGUGCACUUCAUUAUAAUAACAUUGUGAUGUAUAAUGAAGUAAUUACAUAGCUUACUAUAAUGCAGAAUCAGUGGGAGCCCUGAGCUUGUUUUCUUGCACUCAAGCAGUAAUGCGAGCAAUAGGGAGUGGCAGUAAAUAUAGAUGAAGCUCCACCUGCUCGCCCGCUGCUCACCUCCUGCUGUGUGGCCUAGUUCUUAACAGGGCGCCUGCCGGUACUGGUCCAUGGCCCAGGGGGCUGGGGACGCCUGCACUUCCUGGGCUCAAGCUGGGCUGAAAAGGAUUUCUUUCUCUAUCUUAACACUGGUUUCAUUGUUCAGAGUAAAGUUCUGGAUGUUAACUAGAUUUAUUGUGGUGAUCACUUCAUCAAAUAUAUAAAUAUUGAGUUACGUACACCUGAAACUAUUACUACAUGUCAGUUAUCCGUCAAUACAAUAACAUAAUUUUAGAUUAGGAAUCAUAUCAAGUUGGUGGAAGAGGAAUAGACACGCACACAAGUUCUGAUAGGGAGCAGGUUAGCUUUUUUAUUUUUUAAGCUUAUUUUAUUUUUCGGCUGUGGUGGGUCUUCGUUGCUGCAUUCAGGCUUUCUCUAGUUGAGGCGAGCAGGGUCUACUCUUCGUUGCAGUGUUUAGGCUUCUCAUUGCAGCCGCUUCUCUUGUUGAGGAGCACAGGCUCUAGGCACACAGGCUCAGUAGUUGUCAUGCAAGGGCUUAGUUACUCCUCAGCAUGUCCACAUCUUCCAAGACCAGGGAUCAAACCCCCGUGGCCCUUGCAUCAUCAGGUGGUUUCUUAACCACUAUAUCACCAGGUAAGCCCACAGGUUAGCUUUUAAUAUGCCCAUGAACUGGUUUUUGGCUAUUGGGCUGGAAGAAGCACAAGUUGGAAUCAAGAUUGCCGGGAGAAAUAU
rnacentral:lncRNA from 1 species